UAUAUACGUAUUCGAAUUUAUAUAUGUUUAAUUUUAUUUAUGUGGGUAAGCUCUUAUGUUUAAUUUUAUUUAUAUAUGUUUAAUUUUGGCUGUUAAGCAGGUUUGAUGAUUAGGGUUUAUUGUUUUUGAAUUUAUGAACUUGAAUUUGUGUUGGGGGUAAUUGUGGAAGUUUGAUUUUGUGAAUUGGGUUUUAAUUUGCAGGUUUCGAUUGCUUCUGGUGGUGCUUCUAGAGAGAAAACUCAGGCUCACAUAAGGGAGCUGGAAGAGGAAGUGAAGCUGCUUAGGAAUCUAUCACACACAAAUAUAGUUGCAAGUAUUUUAUCUUUUCAUGUACCAAAAUACGAUCCGAUAUUGCUGGAUUCUGAGCUUAAUUUCCAUGCUAGAGAUAUUUGGGGACUGCAAGAGAGGAGGAGGCUUUAAAUAUCUUAUUGGAAUUGGUUCCGGGUGGAUCCAUUUCCUCACUUCUUGGCAAGUUUGGAUCAUUUCCGGGUGAAUCUUAAGAGACUUUAUGUAAUGUUAUGAGUUUUCGUGGACUCAUUUGUAUUUUCGGUGGACUCAUUUGUAUUUUUGGUGUUUGGAAAUUGGAACUUUAGAGACGUUAUGUAGUUUUGUGAUUGAUAA